rnacentral:rRNA from 1 species
AUUGAACGCUGGCGGCAUGCUUUACACAUGCAAGUCGAACGGUAACAGGCCGCAAGGUGCUGACGAGUGGCGAACGGGUGAGUAAUGCAUCGGAACGUGCCCAGUCGUGGGGGAUAACGCAGCGAAAGCUGCGCUAAUACCGCAUACGAUCUAUGGAUGAAAGCGGGGGACCGUAAGGCCUCGCGCGAUUGGAGCGGCCGGUGUCAGAUUAGGUAGUUGGCGGGGUAAAGGCUCACCAAGACAACGCUCUGUAGCUGGUCUGAGAGGACGACCAGCCACACUGGGACUGAGACACGGCCCAGACUCCUACGGGAGGCAGCAGUGGGGAAUUUUGGACAAUGGGCGCAAGCCUGAUCCAGCAAUGCCGCGUGCAGGAAGAAGGCCUUCGGGUUGUAAACUGCUUUUGUACGGAACGAAACGGCUCUGGUUAAUACCUGGGGCUAAUGACGGUACUGUAAGAAUAAGCACCGGCUAACUACGUGCCAGCCGCCGCUGUAACAC